UGUAGUUGUUGCUCCUUCAGCUUCAGUUCAUUCACCGGAGCAUCCGAAUGCUGCACCCUCUCUGGGUCUCCUGAUCUCCGGCCUCUUUUAUCAGGAUUUUUUCUCUGUUCUUCUGCCACUAAAUCUGCUAUCAAGGGAUGCUGCAGAAUAUCUUCAACAGAAGGUCGGCAAUAAUCCUUUAAGUUCAGCAUCUCUUUGAGAAGUUCGUUCAAUUGCUCUGAGUAACGAUACGGUAUUCGUCUGAACUUCCC
rnacentral:lncRNA from 1 species